GACGAACGCUGGCGGCGUGCUUAACACAUGCAAGUCGAACGGAAAGGCCCUGCUUGCAGGGUACUCGAGUGGCGAACGGGUGAGUAACACGUGGGUGAUCUGCCCUGCACUUCGGGAUAAGCCUGGGAAACUGGGUCUAAUACCGGAUAGGAGCCAUUUUUAGUGUGAUGGUUGGAAAGUUUUUUCGGUGUAGGAUGAGCUCGCGGCCUAUCAGCUUGUUGGUGGGGUAAUGGCCUACCAAGGCGGCGACGGGUAGCCGGCCUGAGAGGGUGGGCGGCCACAUUGGGACUGAGAUACGGCCCAGACUCCUACGGGAGGCAGCAGUGGGGAAGAUUGCACAAUGGGCGCAAGCCUGAUGCGGCGACGCCGCGUGGGGGAUGACGGCCUUCGGGUUGUAAACUCCUUUCGCUAGGGACGAAGCUUUUUGUGACGGUACCUAGAUAAGAAGCACCGGCUAACUACGUG
rnacentral:rRNA from 1 species